rnacentral:rRNA from 1 species
CAAUAGCGUAUAUUAAAGUUGUUGCAGUUAAAAAGCUCGUAGUUGGAUUUCUGGUAGGAGUGACCGUUCCGAACUUGAUUGUUCGUGUAUUGUGUUUUCUCCAGCCAUCCUUGUGGAGAACUUUUCUUGCAUUAAUUUGUAGGGAUUGGGACCCGCAUCGUUUACUGUGAAAAAAUUAGAGUGUUCAAAGCGGGCUUACGCUUGAAUAUUUCAGCAUGGAAUAACACUAUAGGACUCCUGUCCUAUUUCGUUGGUCUCGGGACGGGAGUAAUGAUUAAGAGGAACAGUUGGGGGCAUUCGUAUUUCAUUGUCAGAGGUGAAAUUCUUGGAUUUAUGAAAGACGAACUUCUGCGAAAGCAUUUGCCAAGGAUGUUUUCAUUAA